rnacentral:rRNA from 1 species
UUUUUUCUGAGAAUUUGAUCUUGGUUCAGAUUGAACGCUGGCGGCGUGGAUGAGGCAUGCAAGUCGAACGGAAUAAUGACUUCGGUUGUUAUUUAGUGGCGGAAGGGUUAGUAAUACAUAGAUAAUCUGUCCUCAACUUGGGAAUAACGGUUGGAAACGACCGCUAAUACCGAAUGUGGUAUGUUUAGGCAUCUAAAGCAUAUUAAAGAAGGGGAUCUUCGGACCUUUCGGUUGAGGGAGAGUCUAUGGGAUAUCAGCUUGUUGGUGGGGUAAUGGCCUACCAAGGCUUUGACGUCUAGGCGGAUUGAGAGAUUGACCGCCAACACUGGGACUGAGACACUGCCCAGACUUCUACGGAAGGCUGCAGUCGAGAAUCUUUCGCAAUGGACGAAAGUCUGACGAAGCGACGCCGCGUGUGUGAUGAAGGCUCUAGGGUUGUAAAGCACUUUCGCUUGGGAAUAAGAGAGAUUGGCUAAUAUCCAAUCGAUUUGAGCGUACCAGGUAAAGAAGCACCGGCUAACUCCGUGCCAGCAGCUGCGGUAAUACGGAGGGUGCUAGCGUUAAUCGGAUUUAUUGGGCGUAAAGGGCGUGUAGGCGGAAAGGAAAGUUAGAUGUUAAAUCUUGGGGCUCAACCCCAAGCCAGCAUCUAAUACUAUCUUUCUGGAGGGUAGAUGGAGAAAAGGGAAUUCCACGUGUAGCGGUGAAAUGCGUAGAUAUGUGGAAGAACACCAGUGGCGAAGGCGCUUUUCUAAUUUACACCUGACGCUAAGGCGCGAAAGCAAGGGGAGCAAACAGGAUUAGAUACCCUGGUAGUCCUUGCCGUAAACGAUGCAUACUUGAUGUGGAUAGUCUCAACCCUAUCCGUGUCGUAGCUAACGCGUUAAGUAUGCCGCCUGAGGAGUACACUCGCAAGGGUGAAACUCAAAAGAAUUGACGGGGGCCCGCACAAGCAGUGGAGCAUGUGGUUUAAUUCGAUGCAACGCGAAGAACCUUACCUGGGCUUGACAUGUAUUUGACCGCGGCAGAAAUGUCGUUUUCCGCAAGGACAGAUACACAGGUGCUGCAUGGCUGUCGUCAGCUCGUGCCGUGAGGUGUUGGGUUAAGUCCCGCAACGAGCGCAACCCUUAUCGUUAGUUGCCAACACUUAGGGUGGGAACUCUAACGAGACUGCCUGGGUUAAUCAGGAGGAAGGCGAGGAUGACGUCAAGUCAGCAUGGCCCUUAUGCCCAGGGCUACACACGUGCUACAAUGGCCAGUACAGAAGGUAGCAAUAUCGUGAGAUGGAGCAAAUCCUCAAAGCUGGCCCCAGUUCGGAUUGUAGUCUGCAACUCGACUACAUGAAGUCGGAAUUGCUAGUAAUGGCGUGUCAGCUAUAACGCCGUGAAUACGUUCCCGGGCCUUGUACACACCGCCCGUCACAUCAUGGGAGUUGGUUUUGCCUUAAGUCGUUGACUCAACCUGCAAAGGAGAGAGGCGCCCAAGGUGAGGCUGAUGACUGGGAUGAAGUCGUAACAAGGUAGCCCUACCGGAAGGUGGGGCUGGAUCACCUCCUUU